rnacentral:rRNA from 1 species
GUGUCAGCAGCCGCGGUAAUACGGAGGGGGUUAGCGUUGUUCGGAAUUACUGGGCGUAAAGCGCACGUAGGCGGAUCAGAAAGUUGGGGGUGAAAUCCCGGGGCUCAACCCCGGAACUGCCUCCAAAACUUCCAGUCUGGAGUUCGAGAGAGGUGAGUGGAAUUCCGAGUGUAGAGGUGAAAUUCGUAGAUAUUCGGAGGAACACCAGUGGCGAAGGCGGCUCACUGGCUCGAUACUGACGCUGAGGUGCGAAAGUGUGGGGAGCAAACAGGAUUAGAUACCCGGGUAGUCCACGCCGUAAACGAUGAGGGCUAGUUGUCGGGCGGCUUGCCGUUCGGUGACGCAGCUAACGCAUUAAGCCCUCCGCCUGGGGAGUACGGUCGCAAGAUUAAAACUCAAAGGAAUUGGCGGGG